AUACGUAGGGUGCAAGCGUUAAUCGGAAUUACUGGGCGUAAAGCGUGCGCAGGCGGUUUUUUAAGACAGAGGUGAAAUCCCCGGGCUCAACCUGGGAACUGCCUUUGUGACUGCAAAGCUAGAGUACGGCAGAGGGGGAUGGAAUUCCGCGUGUAGCAGUGAAAUGCGUAGAUAUGCGGAGGAACACCGAUGGCGAAGGCAAUCCCCUGGGCCUGUACUGACGCUCAUGCACGAAAGCGUGGGGAGCAAACAGGAUUAGAUACCCUGGUAGUCCACGCCCUAAACGAUGUCAACUGGUUGUUGGGUCUUCAUUGACUCAGUAACGAAGCUAACGCGUGAAGUUGACCGCCUGGGGAGUACGGCCGCAAGGUUGAAACUCAAAUGAAUUGACGGGG
rnacentral:rRNA from 1 species